ACAGGUGCUGCAUGGCUGUCGUCAGCUCGUGCGUGAGGUGUUAGGUUAAGUCCUGCAACGAGCGCAACCCUCGUCGCUAGUUACUUUUCUCUAGCGCUACUGCCCGUAUAACGUGGAGGAAGGUGGGGAUGACGUCAAGUCAGCACGGCCCUUACAUCCUGGGCUGCACACACGCUACAGUGGGUGAUACAACAGGUUGCAAUAGAGCGAUCUGGAGCCAAUCCCUAAAAUCAUCCUCAGUACGGAUUGCAGGCUGCAACUGCCUGCAUGAAGUUGGAGUUGCUAGUAAACGCAGGUCAGCACACUGCGUUGAAUACGUUCUCGGGCCUU
rnacentral:rRNA from 1 species